UACGUAGGCAGCAAGCGUUGUUCGGAAUUACUGGGCGUAAAGAGUGUGUAGGCGGUGCUCCAAGUCUGGUGUGAAAUCUCCCGGCUCAACUGGGAGGGUGCGCUAGAAACUGGAAUGCUAGAGGAUGGGAGAGGUAAGCGGAAUUCCUGGUGUAGCGGUGAAAUGCGUAGAUAUCAGGAAGAACACCUGUGGUGUAGACAGCUUACUGGACCAUUUCUGACGCUGAGACACGAAAGCGUGGGUAGCAAACAGG
rnacentral:rRNA from 1 species